rnacentral:tRNA from 3 species
GCCUCCGUAGCUCAGUGGAUCAGAGCAUCCGGCUUCUAUCCGGCUGGUCGCAGGUUCGAAUCCUGCCGGGGGCA